UGGCCAUUCGAUUCCCGCCCCUCCGGUAUAAAGGGAUACUGCCAUGCAACUCACCGGCAUCCAUCAUCUGACGGCUAUUUCCGCAAACGCCAAGGGAAACCUGGCGUUUUAUANNNCCUGCGGCUGGUCAAAAAGACCGUCAAUCAGGACGAUGUCAGCGCCUACCACUUGUUUUAUGCCGACGGGAAGGCCAACCCGGGAACCGACCUGACCUUCUUCGACUGGCCGGCAGCGCGGGAACAUCGCGGCACCCGCAG
rnacentral:misc_RNA from 1 species